rnacentral:rRNA from 1 species
GAUCAUGGCUCAGGAUGAACGCUAGCUACAGGCUUAACACAUGCAAGUCGAGGGGCAGCAUUUUAGUUUGCUUGCAAACUGAAGAUGGCGACCGGCGCACGGGUGCGUAACGCGUAUGCAACCUACCUUUAACAGGGGCAUAACACUGAGAAAUUGGUACUAAUUCUCCAUAACAUUCGAGAAAGGCAUCUUCUUGGGUUUAAAAACGUAACCGUCGGGUUAAAGGUAAUGGGCGAUGCGUUGUUAUUAGU